UACGGAGGGUGCGAGCGUUGUCCGGAAUCAUUGGGCGUAAAGGGCGCGUAGGUGGCCCGGUCAGUUCGUGGUGAAAGCGCGGGGCUCAACCCUGCGUCGGCCAUGAAUACUGCCGCGGCUGGAGCACUGUAGAGGCAGGCGGAAUUCCGGGUGUAGCGGUGGAAUGCGUAGAGAUCCGGAAGAACACCGGUGGCGAAGGCGGUCUGCUGGGCAGUAGCUGACACUGAGGCGCGACAGCGUGGGGAGCAAACAGG
rnacentral:rRNA from 1 species